UGCUUUGAAACUUUCGUGUGAGAAGUUACUCUUUAAGAGUAGGCAGCAGUUGAAGUCAAAACGCCAGCUCGUCGUUGUUUGUGCUUUUUCCAAGCUAAAAUUUCGGAAGAGCCAGCUUAGAAGAUGUGUGCAUCAUGUUCCUGUACGGCUUGGAUAAUACUCUCUCAGCAGUCAGCAUAUCGUACUUACUAUACGGCAGUUGUGCAUAUAAUUGCUUAAGAGCAAUAAUUGAACAAUUCGUCAAUUUUUUGGUGGAAAACGACUGCAAAAACAACUCAUAUUUAUGGGUUGAUGGGUGAUGUAAAAGAUUAAACGUCUAAAAAUAAA